GAUGAACGCUAGCGGCAGGCCUAAUACAUGCAAGUCGAACGGAUAUAUGUUUUUCGGAAUAUAUAUUAGUGGCGCACGGGUGAGUAACACGUACAUAACUUGCCCUCAAGCGGGGGAUAGCCUUGGGAAACUGAGAGUAAUACCCCAUAGAAUUAUUGGACGGCAUCGUUUGAUAAUUAAAACUACGGUGUUUGGGGAUAGAUGUGCGUCUGAUUAGCUAGUUGGUGAGGUAACUGCUCACCAAGGCGACGAUCAGUAGGGGGCGUGAGAGCGUGGCCCCCCACACGGGUACUGAGACACGGACCCGACUCCUACGGGAGGCAGCAGUAAGGAAUAUUGGUCAAUGGGAGGGAACUCUGAACCAGCCAUGCCGCGUGAAGGAUGACGGCCCUCUGGGUUGUAAACUUCUUUUGGAGUGGGGACGGAAAAAACGGUAUUUAUCCUGGACUGACGGUACCAUCAGAAUAAGCACCGG
rnacentral:rRNA from 1 species